rnacentral:misc_RNA from 1 species
AACGCACAUUGCGCCCCGUGGUAUUCCGCGGGGCAUACCUGUUCGAGCGUCAUAACGACCACUCCAGCUCCGCUGGGUCUUGGGGCUUGCCUUCCUGGCAUCCCUUAAAACUAGAUGCGGCACCAUGUGGUUCUAAGCGUAGUACUUUUCUCGUUUCUGGACCGCGGUGGUGUCUGCUACACAACCCCAACUCUCUAGGGUUGACCUCGAAUCAGGUAGGGAUACCCGCUGAACUUAA